rnacentral:rRNA from 1 species
CAGCAGCCACGGGAAUACGAAGGGUGCAAGCGUUACUCGGAAUUACUGGGCGUAAAGCGUGCGUAGGUGGUGGUUUAAGUCCGUUGUGAAAGCCCUGGGCUCAACCUGGGAAUUGCAGUGGAUACUGGGUCACUAGAGUGUGGUAGAGGAUAGUGGAAUUUCCGGUGUAGCAGUGAAAUGCGUAGAGAUCGGAAGGAACAUCUGUGGCGAAGGCGACUAUCUGGGCCAACACUGACACUGAGACACGAAAGCGUGGGGAGCAAACAGGAUUAGAUACCCGUGUAGUCCCUGUCUCUUAUAC